rnacentral:lncRNA from 1 species
AGACUCGAGCAAUUUUCUCACUUCAGCCUCCUGAGUUGCUGGGACCACAGGUGCACGCACCACCCCCUGGCUUUUAUUUUUUUAUUUUUUUUAUUUUUUGGCAGAGACAGUGUCGCCUUAUGUUGCCCAGGCUGAACACCUGUGUCUCUUAACCUAAGAGCUGUCUCCAGCACAGGAUGCAAGACAGCCCCAAAAAAGUGUUAGGGACUUAAAGCCACCAGAAGCUUUUCUUAACCAAUGGAAUACAGGAGUCAAUGGGAACAUCCUGUCCAGAGGAAAGGAUAUUUAAGGAGAAAGGAAGCAGCACAAGUUCGACUCAGCCAAGAAACAGAGGAAGGACAUCCCAAGCACGAAGUGGGGCACCAGUCUGUGUUCCAGCGAGAGAUAAAAGGGAGAGACACAACUGGCUCCAGCCCUUUUCCUGCCUCUUCCUGCUUUGAAUACUCACAUGAUACCUGGAGCUGCAGCAGCCAUCUUGUUUACCAAGAAGAAAAGCCAAGAUGAUCACAGAAUAGCCAGCACUGGUAUUGUUCCGCCAGCGACAGCAGAUACUUACCUCCAGAUUUUUGGGGAAAAAAAAUGAGCUGGAGUGACUCUCUUGGUCCCUAAGGUGGAAGCCAUGUGUUGAGGACACUGAGCAACAAGAUAGGAGGAGCCUGGGGCCCAGCCAGAGAACAGGAAGCCACCCAAAUAGCUCUCAACCCCUUAUAGAUGGACUACUAAAUGGGAAAUAAAGUAGACUGUUCUCUC